CCUACGGGGGGCAGCAGUGGGGAAUCUUGGUCAAUGGGCGCAAGCCUGAACCAGCGAUGCCGCGUGAGUGAUGAAGGCCUUCGGGUUGUAAAGCUCUGUGGGGCGGGACGCGGUACCGCCUUAGCAAGCACCGGCUAACUCUGUGCCAGCAGCCGCGGUAAGACAGAGGGUGCAAACGUUGCUCGGAAUCACUGGGCGUAAAGGGCGUGUAGGCGGGACGGUAAGUCGGGCGUGAAAUCCCUGGGCUCAACCCAGGAACUGCACUCGAAACUACCAUUCUUGAGUGUCGGAGAGGAAAGCGGAAUUCCUGGUGUAGAGGUGAAAUUCGUAGAUAUCAGGAGGAACACCAGUGGCGAAGGCGGCUUUCUGGACAUACUGACGCUGAGACGCGAAAGCGUGGGGAGCAAACAGGAUUAGAUACCCUUGUAGUC
rnacentral:rRNA from 1 species